AACGCGAAGAACCUUACCUGGGCUUGAACCGCUAGUGACCAACGGUAGAAACAUCGUCUUCUCGCAAGAGACACUAGUAGAGGUGCUGCAUGGCUGUCGUCAGCUCGUGCCGUGAGGUGUUGGGUUAAGUCCCGCAACGAGCGCAACCCUUACUCUUAGUUGCUACCCGCAAGGGAGAACUCUAAGAGGACUGCUCCGGAUAACGGAGAGGAAGGUGGGGAUGACGUCAAGUCAGCACGGCCUUUAUGUCCAGGGCUACACACGUGUUACAAUGCAUGGUACAGACUGUUGCGAACCCGCGAGGGGGAGCUAAUCGGAAAAAACCAUGCUCAGUUCGGAUUGCAGUCUGCAACUCGACUGCAUGAAGCCGGAAUCGCUAGUAAUGGCGUAUCAGAACGACGCCGUGAAUACGUUCCCGGGCCUUGUACACACCGCGCAUA
rnacentral:rRNA from 1 species